GGGAGGCUAUGGUAAGGUGGUGUAGCGCCGCUCCCCGCUCCCUUAUGCCGUUUACAUGUGCAAAGGAGAGAGACAGGGAGAGAGAGACAACCAUAUAUAUGUGGAUUUGAAAGCAGCACAGGCACGGAGGCAUAAUCCGCGGAAAAAUAUUUAACGUCAGAUUUGGACAGUGUGAGCAUCGCGCGAUGACUGUGUCCCCUGUACAGGCACACUGGCCAUCACUAAGUACCCUUACCUCAGAGCUGAAUCAGGUGUGUCAGUGCUGGGCUGGAACAAAAGCCUGCACACCUAGUAGCUCUUCAGGACCAGGGUUGGAGACCACUGCUCGUACCAGUAGAAGGAUGGCAUGAGAUACAGCCUCGGUGGUCCUCCUUAGCUCUCCUGGAUGAGCUGGAAGAUGCUGGUAGAGCAGCAGAAGUAACCCAGCUAUCGCUCCGGAUGUUGUGAAGACCCAACCUGUGGAUCCAGUCGGAAGGUGGGGCCUUCCACUAUCCAUUCCUCCCCUCCCUUUCCUCAGCCAAUGCUAGACUCCCACCACAGCCCAGUUUCACAAAGAUACUUCCUCCUUCGGUCAUUCAAGAGCACAUAGAUCAGGGAUUAUCAACUAGAUUCAACCGCGGGCUGAUUUUUUUCUUAAGUGGAUGGUCAGGGGGCCUGAACUGACCGCAAGAAGCCCAACAGAUAUAACAUUUGACUAAAACAAUAAUUUCAAAUCUUUCUUGCAUUUGUAUAUGAUCACAUAUAUCUCUCUAUUAUGCGUGAGAAUACUUUG